GCCGAAGUGGUGAAACUGGCAGACACGCAUGGUUCAGGACCAUGUGGAGGCAACUCCUUGGGGGUUCAAAUCCCCCCUUCGGUACCA
rnacentral:tRNA from 1 species